rnacentral:rRNA from 1 species
CACGUAGGGGGCAAGCGUUGUUCGGAAUUACUGGGCGUAAAGAGCGCGCAGGCGGCUGGUCAAGUCCGAUGUGAAAUCUCCCGGCUCAACUGGGAAACUGCAUCGGAAACUGAUCGGCUUGAAGAUGGGAGAGGGUAGUGGAAUUCCCGGUGUAGUGGUGAAAUGCGUAGAUAUCGGGAGGAACACCAGUGGCGAAGGCGACUACCUGGCCCAUUCUUGACGCUGAGGCGCGAAAGCUAGGGGAGCGAACGGG